AACGAACGCUGGCGGCAGGCUUAACACAUGCAAGUCGAACGCCCCGCAAGGGGAGUGGCAGACGGGUGAGUAACGCGUGGGAAUCUACCCAGAUCUACGGAACAACAGUUGGAAACGACUGCUAAUACCGUAUACGCCCUACGGGGGAAAGAUUUAUCGGAUUUGGAUGAGCCCGCGUUGGAUUAGCUAGUUGGUGGGGUAAUGGCCUACCAAGGCGACGAUCCAUAGCUGGUCUGGGAGGAUGAUCAGCCACACUGGGACUGAGACACGGCCCAGACUCCUACGGGAGGCAGCAGUGGGGAAUAUUGGACAAUGGGCGCAAGCCUGAUCCAGCCAUGCCGCGUGAGUGAUGAAGGCCUUAGGGUUGUAAAGCUCUUUCACCGAUGAAGAUAAUGACGGUAGUCGGAGAAGAAGCCCCGGCUAACUUCGUGCCAGCCGCCGCCGUAAUAC
rnacentral:rRNA from 1 species